rnacentral:sRNA from 1 species
GCAUACAGCAGAGCCCACACUUUGCGCCAGCAUUUCUGUAAGAAAGGAGAUCCUUGGGAAGAAAGCCACCCUUGCCCCUUGGCUCUGUACAAGCUGCUUAGCUUCUGCCUCCCUAGGACUUAGGGUACUGAGGAAGGAGGAGGCCUUGCUGGGGCAGGGGUAGGCAGGAAGAGAUCUACACUUGGGGCUGGUCAGCCCUGAGCCCUGGUCACACCUUGCCCUGUUCUGGAUGACCUUCACAGUUAAUAGUAUCUAAUGGCUGGGGCAGACCAACUGACACUGCUGUUACACAACCAGAAAGGGCACUUGGGCCAUGGGCUGGGUGGGGUGGGAAGGCGGCCUCUGCUUCAUGCUGGUAAGGAAGGAAACAUGCAAAUGACAUCGCAGAGGCAGCAGACGGUUUAUCUGCCCAGGAGCAGCUGUAGUUGAACUGUGGGUGUACAGUCUGAUGCUCAAGGAGAAAAAAAGAUAGAUUCCCAGCCCAUCUCCUCUCCAGGAGAACCAGCCUGUCUGCUCCGUCCUCAGAGGGCUUCUGACACACAGGCCUGGGCCUUCUCCAGGAGCCUUGGAACCCUUGGACACACAGGUUUUGAUUCCUACAACGCUUCCAUGGUCCUGGCAUCUCUAACACGGGUCCUUGCUGUUCCAAGAAACCGUACCUGCCUAUGGGGAGCUUGAAGCCAGCAGGGUCCGGGGUGGCGUGGGGGGUGAGGACUGCCUCUUGCGCAUGCACCUGGAUCAGCUGGAUCUGAGUGUCUGACCACAGGGUGGAUGCCGAGUCACAAGCUCCGAACCCUCCCCCAUUCCCAGGCAGCUGUGCAACGUGAGGAUGGGAGCUGCACAGCCUCCGACCCUUCUCUACCAGAUUGCUAAAGUGGCUGCCAUUCUGAGUGGCACGUUUGCCGUGCUCUUAAGCACUGGGAUCCACCCAGGGCCUUGGACAUGCUAAGGUAACCGCCAUACAUUCCCAGGUCAAUCAGAAAUGUUUCCAAAGCUCAUUUUCAUCUCACCCCACUUAGGCCCACCCCAGCUGUGUCCACCAAUCUUGUUGUUCCCCCUUGAGUCUAGUCUGGGCAACUCCACCCCAUCUGUUCUCGCCUUUACUUCCUGAGGUGUAGUUCUUCAGAUCCGUCCCCUCUAGGCACCCCUUACCACUGCUCUGCCCUGCCACAGGCGGCUGCUUCUUC